UUAGGGCUCUUGUCAUUCAUCCUCAGGAAAUUCCUGCAAGCCUGUUUGGCUCAUCUCAAGCUUUGCUAAUUGAUCAGAAACUAAUGAUCUAAGAAGGGGUUCCUAAACACCACAAGAAUGGGGUGGAUCUUCUACAUUUGCCUGGAGUAGAUGGCAAUAGAACAAAGCAGGGCAGCUUGAGCAGUCACUGCCAGUGCUGUACUCAUCCAACGGAUGGAGAAAUGCACCCAGGUGUCCUAUGAGUCUCAUUACCCCUUGUCUCUUCUCGGUCUGCUGUCCUGAGCACACCUCCCCUGGUGCACUGUUGUCAGGAACUCCAGUGAUCAGCAUUAUUUAGCAUCAGAUAGAUCAUCAGAUAUGGGAUAAAUGGAUAAACAGGACCAAAAAGAAGAUUAUUACUUGCAAAAUAAAAUAAUAAAAU